rnacentral:misc_RNA from 1 species
AACUUUUAACAACGGAUCACUUGGUUCUGGCAUCUAUGAAGAACGCAGCGAAAUGCGAUAAGUAAUGUGAAUUGCAGAAUUCAGUGAAUCAUCGAAUCUUUGAACGCACAUUGCGCCCCUUGGUAUUCCGAGGGGCAUGCCUGUUCGAGCGUCAUUUAAACCAAUCCAGCUUGCUGGGUCUUGGGCUUUCGCCUCUGGGCGGGCCUCAAAAUCAGUGGCGGUGCUGCCCAGGCUCUACGCGUAGUAAUUUUUCUCGCUACAGGGUCCUGGUAGAGGCUUGCCAACAACCUCAAAUCUUUCAAAGGUUGACCUCGGAUCAGGUAGGGAUACCCGCUGAACUUAAGCAUAUCAAUAAGCGGAGGCU